rnacentral:tRNA from 1 species
GCGGGUGUGGCGGAACUGGUAGACGCACCAGAUUUAGGUUCUGGCGCUUAUGGCGUGGGGGUUCGAGUCCCUUCACCCGCACCA